AGCGGAGAAGUGGAGUAUUUCUUAUUGGAAGGUGGAGAAGACAGAUUUGUUGGUGACCGUAUCCGCGAUAUCACAUCAAAGCAAUCCC